rnacentral:rRNA from 1 species
CGUAGGCGGUUGAUUAAGUCGGAUGUGAAAGCCCUGGGCUUAACCUGGGAACUGCAUUCGAUACUGUUCGACUAGAGUACGAGAGAGGGAGGUAGAAUUCCACGUGUAGCGGUGAAAUGCGUAGAUAUGUGGAGGAAUACCGGUGGCGAAGGCGGCCUCCUGGCUCGAUACUGACGCUGAGGUGCGAAAGCGUGGGGAGCAAACA